rnacentral:precursor_RNA from 9 species
GAUGGCGCUGCGAAAAGAACAUCAGUCUCAAGGAGGACUCACUAUCUGCAUUCUCCACGCAUGCGCGUUCAGUUGUUAAUGAGACAGUGUGUCCUCCCUCGGAUUGAGUUCUCCAUACAACCUGCCAAGCG